rnacentral:tRNA from 1 species
GGAAGUGUGGCCGAGCGGUUGAAGGCACCGGUCUUGAAAAUCGACGAAAGGGUUCCAGAGUUCAGAUCUCUGCGCUUCCGCCA